UCCGGCUUAACGCCGGCAGUCUCCAUAGAGUGCCCAACUGAAUGGUGGCAACUAAGGACAAGGGUUGCGCUCGUUAAGGGACUUAACCCGACAUCUCACGAUACGAGCUGACGACAGCCAUGCAGCACCUGUCUCCCAGCCCCCGAAGGGGAAACCCUAUCUCUAGGGCUGUCUGGGGAUGUCAAACCCAGGUAAGGUUCUUCGCGUUGCAUCGAAUUAAACCACAUGCUCCACCGCUUGUGCGGGCCCCCGUCAAUUCCUUUGAGUUUUAACCUUGCGGCCGUACUUCCCAGGCGGGGUACUUAAUGCGUUAGCGUCGACACUGCAGGGGUCAAUUCCCGCAACAUCUAGUACCCAUCGUUUACGGCGUGGACUAC
rnacentral:misc_RNA from 1 species